GGAGCGUCGAUCCCACCGAGAGGUUCAGCAGCAUUCUGGGGAGCAACGAUCGACUGCGACCGCACAUGGAAGAGAGGAUAUGCGAUGUGAUGCAGCCCUCUGUUCCCAGUCCUUUGAAGAGGAGUCUGCCAACCCAGGGACGGUCAGGGUUUGGCUGUUGUGGUUUCCCAGAUGAUUAGCGGACUGCAGCCUGCCAGAGAAAGUAUGCAGAGUUCAGGGACGUACUGCGGCCAACUCCGGCGUUGAAGGUAAGCCGAUGCGCAAUCGGUGUACACGGUUUAUUCUGUGGAUUUUGUUACCCCUUCCUUGUUUUGGGAGUGUUUCUUAGGGUUUGACCUGUGGACAUCUUUGUUAACAGGUACGGGGUUGGACUGGCCUGGUUGCGUGGAAGAAGAGCAGACCGUCACCAGUAGCAGCAGUUCUGUGAUGCACUGCGGUCAAUCCCUGAC